CUGGGAGCAACAACAUGGAGUCGUGGUCAGAUUUGCCAAAAGGAGGGCGAGGGAGGGCUUUGUAUGCGUCGUGGAAGUUAGAGUAGCAAUGAUCAAGGAAUUCUAGGUCAGGUGAACAAGAGGACUUGAUUUCCUGUAUGUUUUUAUGAACACGACCACGAUUUGUUAAUACAUCCCCGCCUUGCUUCUUACUAGAGCUGUUUGUUUCUGUCGGCGCGAUGCAUGAAGAAACCGGGGGGCUGUACUGACUCUGAUAACGUAUCCCGAGUGAGUCAUGUUUCCGUGAAACAGAGAAUGUUACAAUUUCUGAUGUCUCUCUGGAAGGCAACCCUUGCUCGAAUUUCGUCUACCUUGUUGUGAAGAGACUGGACAUUGGUGAGUAGUAUAUUCGGGAGCGGUGAGCGAUGUGCCCGUCUAUGGAGCCUGAUCAGAAGACCGCUCCGUCUGCCCCUUCUGCGGCGCCAUUGUUUUGGGUCGCCUUCUGGGAUUUGAUCCGUUGUCCUGGGUGGUGGUCCAAACAGAGGAUCUGCUUCAGGAAAGUCGUAUUCCUGGUCGUAAUGUUGGUGACAAUCAUCACUCCCCAAUCAGUCACCAAUCAGCCACAAUCAGAAGACAUCUGCUCCUUUUCCCUCAACCAAUCACAUCCCCUUUCCCUUGGUUUAAAAACCCCAGUCAGUAGCUCUCUCUCUCUCUCUCUCGUUCGUACCAAGACAAGUCGCCCAUGGGCUUACACUACCUAUAGAUAUGGCCACCUCCAGCAGUCUCCUGUCUGAAGACCAGUUCUUGUGCUCUGUCUGUCUGGAUGUGUUCACUGAGCCAGUCACCACUCCAUGUUGACACAACUUCUGCAAGGCCUGUAUAAGACAGUACUGGAAUAGCAAUGACCUGUGUCCAAUGUGUAAGGAGAAAUUCCACCAAAAUCCUGCGCUUCGCAUCAGUACUUUCAUAUCUGAGAUGGCUGCUCAGUUCAGGAAGUCAGUUGAAGGCCACCAGCAGCUGAGAUCAAUGCCCCGUUCAACCUAUUACAUGCACUGCUGCUACUGUUGAUUAUCUAUCCUGUUGCUUAGUCACUUUACCCCUAGCAAUGUGUGCAUAUCUACCUCAGUUACCUCAUACCCCUGCACAUUGACUCAGUACUGAUACCCUGUGUAUAUAGCCAAGUUAUGGUUACUCAUUGUGUAUUUAUUCCUUGUGUUAUUUCUAACAAAAUACCUUUUCUAUUUUUAUCUCCGCAUUGUUGGGAAGGGCCCAUAAAUAAGCAUUUCACUGUUAGUCUACACCUGUUGUUUAUGAAGAAUAUGACAAAUAAAAUUUGAUUUGAGC
rnacentral:lncRNA from 1 species